rnacentral:ribozyme from 14 species
UUUUUUUUUUUUUUUUUUUUUUUUUGAAAAAAAAAAAAAAAGCUUUACGAGAUUUUGGUGGAUCAUUUUCAAU